UACAGAGGUCUCAAGCGUUGUUCGGAAUUACUGGGCGUAAAGGGCUCGUAGGCGGCCAACUAAGUCAGACGUGAAAUCCCUCGGCUUAACCGGGGAACUGCGUCUGAUACUGGAUGGCUUGAGUUUGGGAGAGGGAUGCGGAAUUCCAGGUGUAGCGGUGAAAUGCGUAGAUAUCUGGAGGAACACCGGUGGCGAAGGCGGCAUCCUGGACCAACACUGACGCUGAGGAGCGAAAGCCAGGGGAGCAAAGCGGG
rnacentral:rRNA from 1 species